GAUGAACGCUGGCGGCGUGCCUAAUACAUGCAAGUCGAGCGAACAGACGAGGAGCUUGCUCCUCUGACGUUAGCGGCGGACGGGUGAGUAACACGUGGAUAACCUACCUAUAAGACUGGGAUAACUUCGGGAAACCGGAGCUAAUACCGGAUAAUAUAUUGAACCGCAUGGUUCAAUAGUGAAAGACGGUUUUGCUGUCACUUAUAGAUGGAUCCGCGCCGCAUUAGCUAGUUGGUAAGGUAACGGCUUACCAAGGCAACGAUGCGUAGCCGACCUGAGAGGGUGUGCGGCCACACUGGAACUGAGACACGGUCCAGACUCCUACGGGAGGCAGCAGUAGGGAAUCUUCCGCAAUGGGCGAAAGCCUGACGGAGCAACGCCGCGUGAGUGAUGAAGGUCUUCGGAUCGUAAAACUCUGUUAUUAGGGAAGAACAAAUGUGUAAGUAACUAUGCACGUCUUGACGGUACCUAAUCAGAAAGCCACGGCUAACUACGUG
rnacentral:rRNA from 1 species